rnacentral:lncRNA from 1 species
UCAGUACCUGGGAGGUAUUGGGGGGAGGUGACCUUGGGCAUUAACCAUAUGGGCAUAAAUCCAAGGGACAGGAACAUGUUCUUUCUUCAUAUAUUCUGUGGAAGAUUGUGUCUGACAGGCUACAUACCUUAAGCACCCUGUGUACUCUGCAAGUACAGUUGGCUCUUUAUAGAGUUCUCUUCUGAAGCAGGAAAAUACUACUGGGUAACUCACUUCAUGAAACCAGGCAGGCUCUGGAUGUUGGGAAUAGAAGAUGUGGACAAAGAGUAUGAGGAGAUGUGAUGGCAUUCCUGGGAUGAGAUGAGUCAGGGAGGACCCAAAUGUAAGACUUAACACAACUGGGAAAACCCACAAAGCCCCCAGAGGGUGGAAGUAGGUGGUCAGUAGUGGGGUGGUGCUUUUAUUCUUGGUGAGGUUUGUUUGCCAAGAAUGGCUUCAGCUGGAAAGCAAGCAUGGUGACAAUUUUCAGAGUCAGUUAGAUGGUCUUGCAGGUUCCUGAGAACCUUGGACGUAAAACCAGGAAAUGGGCUAUUGGAACAGAAAUUUUCUUUUCUUUCCUAAAUUUUCUGAGAGGAAUAUUUGUUGGAGUGUGAACUGAGUGUUUUGAGAAUGAAACUUAUUCUUGUGUCCAGAAUAUUAUAGGACGGCAUAAUGACAGGAAUAAAAGGAAAGAAUGGAGGGGUUUGCAAAAAGAAGAAGGUUGACCAAAGUGAGAAUCAGAGAAAAGAGUACGUGUAGUUGAAUGAGCUUGGUAAAGCAGCUUGUAGAAGACAGUCUUUGGUCUGUUCAUUGGUGCAGGAUGGUUUAAUGCAACCUUAUUCUUCCAACCAGUCUCCUGUGUCCUCAUACAGUAAUUUGCACCUUCACUUUGGACAUGGA